AGAGUUUGAUCCUGGCUCAGAUUGAACGCUGGCGGCAGGCCUAACACAUGCAAGUCGAGCGGUAGAGAGAAGCUUGCUUCUCUUGAGAGCGGCGGACGGGUGAGUAAUGCCUAGGAAUCUGCCUGGUAGUGGGGGAUAACGUUCGGAAACGGACGCUAAUACCGCAUACGUCCUACGGGAGAAAGCAGGGGACCUUCGGGCCUUGCGCUAUCAGAUGAGCCUAGGUCGGAUUAGCUAGUUGGUGAGGUAAUGGCUCACCAAGGCGACGAUCCGUAACUGGUCUGAGAGGAUGAUCAGUCACACUGGAACUGAGACACGGUCCAGACUCCUACGGGAGGCAGCAGUGGGGAAUAUUGGACAAUGGGCGAAAGCCUGAUCCAGCCAUGCCGCGUGUGUGAAGAAGGUCUUCGGAUUGUAAAGCACUUUAAGUUGGGAGGAAGGGUUGUAGAUUAAUACUCUGCAAUUUUGACGUUACCGACAGAAUAGGCACCGGCUAACUCUGUGCCAGCAGCCGCGGUAAUACAGAGGGUGCAAGCGUUAAUCGGAAUUACUGGGCGUAAAGCGCGCGUAGGUGGUUUGUUAAGUUGGAUGUGAAAUCCCCGGGCUCAACCUGGGAACUGCAUUCAAAACUGACUGACUAGAGUAUGGUAGAGGGUGGUGGAAUUUCCUGUGUAGCGGUGAAAUGCGUAGAUAUAGGAAGGAACACCAGUGGCGAAGGCGACCACCUGGACUAAUACUGACACUGAGGUGCGAAAGCGUGGGGAACAAACAGGAUUAGAUACCCUGGUAGUCC
rnacentral:rRNA from 1 species